ensembl:lncRNA
GCAAGUUACCUCCGAUUAUUUUUUCUAUAGACAAAUAAACUUAUUUAUCGCUUGAAUUAACAAAACAUAGAAAUAAAAAAAUAUUUCGACGCGUUAGUAACCACUUUUAGAGCUUAAUAAAGGUUUAACGUUAUUUAGACAAUCGGAGGAGGGGCUAGGAAGCUGCGCCUGCCCAUAUAAGUAGCCGAUCUCCGGGACUCGCUGAAAAGCUGCUCCCGACCAGGUUUGGUUGCGAGCGUAGGUCACCAUGGUGAUACAGCGACGCUUAAAGAGAUAGACUUUCAUGGUACAGCCGCAAAGCCAGACCAAACUACAGCAAGUAGAAUGGGACUUCAACUGAGAGAUCGACGCUUCCAACUUCAUCAGACGAAAGAGUAACGUCUGAACAAUUGGCAACAAACGGUUCAAACUUCAACAGCAGAUCCAUUGACUUCUGCAUCCAUAGUUCUGACUUCAACAGAUGAACCAUUGACUUCUGCAUCAACAACUCUGACUUCAACAGAUGGAACAGUGACUUCUGCCUUCAGUUUUUCUUUCAUGACGACCAAUAAAAAACGACAGCAUCACCCCUUGUGAUUUCUUUGAGAACUAACGACACUGAUGACAUUUUAUCAAUUAUUUAUUUUAUAAUUGAUAAAAAUCGACAGUGUUACCACUUAUGUUUUAAUUGAUAAAACACGAGUGUUACCCCUUAUGUUUUAUUUUGAUAAAAUAAAAUAACAUUACCCUUAUGAUUUUUUCAUGACGUCCGAUAAAAAACAACAGUGUUACCCCUUAUGUUUUUAAGAUAAGAAAACACCAGUAUUGUCCCUUAAGUUUGAAUUAUUAGAAAAACACCAGUGUUACCCCUUAAGUUUUUUUACGAAGAAUACAGUGUUACACCUUAUGUUUUUUUUCACGACGAACAAUAAAAAACGAGUGUUACCCCUUGUGUUUCCUUUGAGAACUAACGACAGUCUUACCCCUUUAUUUCAUAAUUGAUCAAAAGCGACAGUGUUGCCCCUUAUGUUUUAUUUGAUAAAGCACGACAGUGUUACCCCUUAUGUUUUAUUUAAAAAAAAUAAAAUAACAUUACCC